rnacentral:rRNA from 1 species
UCAUGGCUCAGAUUGAACGCUGGCGGCAGGCUUAACACAUGCAAGUCGAACGGAGUGAUAGUGCUUGCACUAUCACUUAGUGGCGAACGGGUGAGUAAUGCCUAGGAAUCUGCCCAUUAGCGGGGGAUAACGUGUGGAAACGCACGCUAAUACCGCAUACGCCCUACGGGGGAAAGCAGGGGAUCUUCGGACCUUGCACUAAUGGAUGAGCCUAGGUCAGAUUAGCUAGUUGGUGGGGUAAAGGCCUACCAAGGCGACGAUCUGUAGCGGGUCUGAGAGGAUGAUCCGCCACACUGGAACUGAGACACGGUCCAGACUCCUACGGGAGGCAGCAGUGGGGAAUAUUGGACAAUGGGCGCAAGCCUGAUCCAGCCAUGCCGCGUGUGUGAAGAAGGCCUUUUGGUUGUAAAGCACUUUAAGCGAGGAGGAGGCUACCCUGACUAAUAAUUAGGAGUAGCGGACGUUACUCGCAGAAUAAGCACCGGCUAACUCUGUGCCAGCAGCCGCGGUAAUACAGAGGGUGCGAGCGUUAAUCGGAAUUACUGGGCGUAAAGCGCGCGUAGGCGGUUUAUUAAGUCGGAUGUGAAAUCCCUGAGCUUAACUUAGGAAUUGCAUUCGAUACUGGUAAGCUAGAGUAUGGGAGAGGAAG